rnacentral:rRNA from 1 species
AAUGAACGCUAGCGGCAGGCUUAAUACAUGCAAGUCGUGGGGCAGCGCAGUGUAGCAAUACAUGGGCGGCGACCGGCAAACGGGUGCGGAACACGUACACAACCUUCCGAUAAGUGGGGAAUAGCCCAGAGAAAUUUGGAUUAAUACCCCGUAACAUAGUGAUGUGGCAUCACAUUACUAUUAUAGCUACGGCGCUUAUCGAUGGGUGCGCGGCUGAUUAGAUAGUUGGCGGGGUAACGGCCCACCAAGUCUACGAUCAGUAGCUGAUGUGAGAGCAUGCUCAGCCACACGGGCACUGAGACACGGGCCCGACUCCUACGGGAGGCAGCAGUAAGGAAUAUUGGUCAAUGGACGCAAGUCUGAACCAGCCAUGCCGCGUGAAGGAUUAAGGUCCUCUGGAUUGUAAACUUCUUUUAUCUGGGACGAAAAAAGGCGAUUCUUCGUCACUUGACGGUACCAGAUGAAUAAGCACCGGCUAACUCCGUGCCAGCAGCCGCAGUAAGAC